AUCCCGCUUACGAGUCCCAAAAAGGACGAAACGCGCGUCCUGAAU
rnacentral:hammerhead_ribozyme from 1 species